rnacentral:rRNA from 1 species
CUACGGGAUGCUCCAGUGAGGAAUAUUGCACAAUGGGGGGAACCCUGAUGCAGCAACGCCGCGUGGAGGAUGACGCAUUUCGGUGUGUAAACUCCUUUUAUAUGUCAAGAAAAUGACGGUAGCAUAUGAAUAAGCACCGGCUAACUCCGUGCCAGCAGCCGCGGUAAUACGGAGGGUGCAAGCGUUACUCGGAAUCACUGGGCGUAAAGGACGCGUAGGCGGGUUGGAAAGUCAGGUGUGAAAUCCUACAGCUUAACUGUAGAACUGCGCUUGAAACUUCUAAUCUAGAGUAUGGGAGGGGGAGAUGGAAUUAGUGGUGUAGGGGUAAAAUCCGUAGAUAUCACUAGGAAUACCUAAAGCGAAGGCGAUCUCCUGGAACAUUACUGACGCUAAGGCGUGAAAGCGUGGGGGGCAAACAGGAUUAGAUACCCUGGUAGUC